rnacentral:rRNA from 1 species
GAUGAACGCUGGCGGCGUGCUUAACACAUGCAAGUCGAACGGUGAACGAGGGAGCUUGCUCCCUCCGGAUCAGUGGCGAACGGGUGAGUAACACGUGAGCAAUCUGCCCUGGACUCUGGGAUAAGCGUUGGAAACGACGGCUAAUACCGGAUACGAGACGUGAGGGCAUCAUUAACGUCUGGAAAGAACUUCGGUCCAGGAUGAGCUCGCGGCCUAUCAGGUCGUUGGUGAGGUAAUGGCUCACCAAGCCUACGACGGGUAGCCGGGCUGAGAGGGUGACCGGCCACACUGGGACUGAGACACGGCCCAGACUCCUACGGGAGGCAGCAGUUAGGAAUAUUGGACAAUGGGCGCAAGCCUGAUCCAGCCAUGCCGCGUGAGUGAUGAAGGCCUUCGGGUUGUAAAGCUCUUUAGCCGACGAAUAUAAUGACUGUAGUCGGAGAAUAAGCCCCGGCUAACUUCGUGCCAGCCGCCGCUGUAACAC